rnacentral:rRNA from 1 species
GACGAACGCUGGCGGCGUGCUUAACACAUGCAAGUCGAACGGAAAGGCCUGCUUUCCCUUGUGGAUUGCGGGUACUCGAGUGGCGAACGGGUGAGUAACACGUGAGUGAUCUGCCCCCAACUUGGGUAUAAGCCUGGGAAACUGGGUCUAAUUCCCGAUAGGACUGCAGGGUGGUGCCUGUGGUGGAAAACGAUUUUCUAGUGGUUGGGGAUGAGCUCGCGGCCUAUCAGCUUGUUGGUGGGGUAAUGGCCUACCAAGGCGGCGACGGGUAGCCGGCCUGAGAGGGUGGACGGCCACAUUGGGACUGAGACACGGCCCAGACUCCUACGGGAGGCAGCAGUUGGGAAUAUUGCACAAUGGGCGGAAGCCUGAUGCAGCGACGCCGCGUGGGGGAUGACGGCCUUCGGGUUGUAAACUCCUUUCGACCGCGAGGAAGCCACCUGGUUGGAAGGGUGGUGACGGUAGUGGUAGAAGAAGCACCGGCUAACUACGUG